rnacentral:rRNA from 1 species
UACGGGGGGAGCAAGCGUUGUUCGGAUUUACUGGGCGUAAAGGGCGCGUAGGCGGCCAGCACAAGUCAGUUGUGAAAUCUCCGAGCUUAACUCGGAAAGGUCAACUGAUACUGUGCGGCUAGAGUGCGGAAGGGGCAACUGGAAUUCUUGGUGUAGCGGUGAAAUUCGUAGAUAUUCGCAAGAACACCAGUGGCGAAGGCGGCUCACUGGCCCGAUACUGACGCUGAGGCACGAAAGCGUGGGGAGCAAACAGG